AGCCCCCUCGUUGGUGUCUCCACCUUAUCGUGGUGAGCGGGUUUGAGUAUGCCAAGGACUCUGAGAGCUGAGAGCUAUACCACCGGUAGCGUGGCCAGGGCCUCUCUUGCUGGACUGUUCAAAGGGUAGGCAUCAGACGAAGAGAGAGACCAAAAACUGAUGCCGGAAGCAGCGACUGGAAGCAUCAAGGAACAUCAUGGGUACAAGAUUGGAACAUGGAAUGCAUCAGGGUGCAACAGAGCAAUGCAUUCAGCUGUAUUUCACAGUGCUGCAAUAUCUGGGAAGGGCCCCUGAUGUAUCGACUCCUGUGGUAAAAUAGAUCCAAUGAAGAUCCGUUAUUGUAGCGUAAAAUACUUAAACAAAUUUCUUCUUAGAAUUGUUCACCUUAUUCAACUUAAGCGGUUAUGAUUGGUAAUGAAAGACAAACUCAUUUAAAGCCCUCACAGAAUAAUGGCCAUAUUAUUCCAUUGGAUAUUUUAAUGUUAUAUAUUUAACCUUUGUACAAGAACUUGAGAGGCACCAUCUGAGCAUGUUUUUGAAGAAUAGUUGUAAAUUGUAUGACCAAUGAAAUGAGAACUGAUGUUUAAAAAUAAUUAAGCACCUGAGAGUCGUGAGUACAGAACUUGCUGUCUUGAUGUAACGUAGGAGAAUGAACAUUGUAGAGGGUUCCAGGUUUCUUCGCUGACCAGAUCUUAAUGUACACCUACCUCAUUGUUUACAGUUAAAAUAUGUCAUCCUUUCUAAAGUUAAUAUUUUGUGACUGUGAUGAGUAAUAGCUCUUGCCACUGUCUGGAGCUGAUGUUAAGUUCCCUUCAGUCUGAGAAUGUUUACAAAAGUGAUCCAGUCUUGUGAAUACCAAUCUCCAGACCUGAAGGAUCUCGUAAAAUCCACUGCACACUAUUGAGAAUGGUCAGUUAUAGAAACUCAUAAUGAUGCUGUGUUACUGUGAUACAAUGUAAUGUGAUUUGUGCUAUUGCAUGUCAUACACUGAUGUGGACUUCAAAACCUAUAGAAGUGCUAAAAUUUAGUUUCAUGGCAGGCUGAGGUAAGCAUUUGUAUUACAGCACUGCUUCAUUAAAUGAAGAUAAAACAGAGUAAAUAUUUAAACUUAUAAUGUGUCUCUGUAAUAAAAUAAUAUAUUAGAAAUGUUCAUAUGAAGAUUCAA